GCCGUCUGUUUUUUUUUUUUUUACUCUAAGCUACGGGCCAGAUACAAAAAUAAUAGGUGAGUGUUACAUAGCUUUUUUGUGGCUGCCAGAAGUAGCUUUAAUAUAAUUCUCAACAGUGUGCUAAUGCCUUAUGCAAUAUAUGUAUAUUCAAACAAAUCAUGCAAUGAAAGCAACUACCAUCCUGCUCUAUUAGUAUGAGCAUUUGAUAACUAAGACGGCUAUUAAUGGUUGUUUCUAUUAGCUCCCGAAAGAGUCAUCAGCUGCAAUUCUUACCCAUGCAAAGCUUAAAGCACGACUCAGCUUCGCCUGAGAAUGGACUUCAGAAUUACUCUACAUGGAUUUAACUCUACUUACACAUACAGACUACAGGUUUCUACCUCUUGCAACAAAAGAUUUAGACCUAAGAAGCAUAAGACAGUUCUCUCUAGGGAGGACUGGCAUCACUACAAGUAAUGGGGGCUAAAGUGAUGAUCCCUGCUAUGACCUUGCUAUCUUCUAUGCGAGAGCGCGCGCAAUGGUUUGCAAGCCUAUUUCAUGGCAUGUGGCAAUUGGUGAGAUUCUCAAGCUUGUGUGGCAGUUCUUGCCACCUGCAGCAGCAGAUGCAACUGCAUUCAGAUUACAUUUCUCAUUACAAGUACUAAACUAAAUGGAUAAAUCACCAGUUGUGGAGGUCAACCGUUCUAGACUGAUGCCCGUGUUAACCCAAAGUUCAUUAGAAGGCUACUAUCCAAAGCUGGUUGACUUUUUUUUUUUUUUUUUAUUGUCAAAACUCUACAAUUUAGAAAAAAUUGUGUAGAAACACUGGCAAGACUUUGGGAUGUCCCCUCCCCAAUCCAUUUUUGGACCAGCUUAUGCUAAUGCUCUGUCCUUGGUCAGUGUAAAUAGGGCCACUCAGCCCUUCCCUAUACUAGACUAAAGUCUCCACUUGCUGAUGCUCACUCUGGCUCUGCUCCACCAGCCAGCACAGGAGGGGACGCAAAACAGUGGGGGUAGCUGGAGUUUCAAGCACCAUAGCAUCUGAACUUGCCAUAAGCAGGAUGAGUCAAGAUAGUGGUCCAAAGCCAAACAUCCCGUCUCCCCAGCUGUUCCCACGUUUGCCAUCACGUGCUGAACUAAACAGUGGAGGAACUCUACAGGGGAAGCCCAUCAAAAACUCCCAAAGAUAUAGGACCAAUUGCAAAAAAAAAAAAAAGGUGCCAAUUUACAGAUCUGAAUGUGUGCAGAGAUCAAACCACCUUCUCAGUCCCAGAGAUGUUUCUCAACCAGGAUCAUGGUUGAGAAACACUG